rnacentral:lncRNA from 1 species
AUGUCGUGUGAGGUACCAUUCUCUUCGUCUCUUCGAGAACUAUAACUUUCGUUUUUGUUUCACUCAAUUUCGUUGAGUAUUAACAAAGUUAUUGAUGUUUAAAGGUUGCCCAGAAAUUCUGGCGGAAAGCCCAGUUUUCUCGGCGAACCCGUAUUUUCCAGGCCAUUUUCCAGCCAACUCCGGCCACGAUGACGGGAACCAAGGGUAUAUUUCGAUUCCUUACCUUCGGGGCUUCAAUUUGGUAUAUUGAAUGGCAUGUUUUGGUUGAGUUUUGAGCUCCAUCAGAGCUUGGGAAUUCUCCGGCCGAAAUCCUGCCUUCUCCUCCCUUUGAAUCUAGCGACCCACCAAACCCAAGCCCUUUGGGCCUUCCCUGCCGAGCCCAACCCAAACCCAUUUCUCUUUUUAUUUUGUUUAGGCCUUUGGGCCUAGAACCCUCCAUCCCUUUUUAUUUUCUGUUUUAUUUAUUUUUGGUUUUAAAAGCCUUUGGGCCUUAUAUGUUAAAAACCUAAACUUAACCCACUUAAAAAUCUAAGCCUAAACCCUUUAACCCUUCCAACCCUAAAUCCUAGCCGGCUCAAACCUUUUUGUGGAAUAUUCCAUUAGGGAAUAUUCCAUCAGAGAAUAUUCCGUCAGGGAAUAUUCUUUGGAAUAUUCUAUUGACGUUUACGAAAUUAUCCGAGGCCCUUCUUAGGGUAAUUCGACGUCCCGAAUCUGUUUUUGACGUCCGUUUUCCCAAAUUCAAUUGCUAUAAUAGAGUUUUAUUAAUUGGACCCUAAAUGUGCUAUUUAUAUGCUUAGGGGCAAUUAUUGUGACGCUUCCGUCUUCGCUAGUGGCGCAGUUUUUGGCGGCUAAGUACUGUGAGUGGACCUCUUUCUAAAAUUACAUGAUUUGAUAAUUUAAUUGCAUAAAUGAAUAGCAUGCCUUACGAGUUUACGAUUUGAUUUAUGAUAAGCAUGUUUAUUGAAUAUAUUGAUUUUCGUCUCGUGUUUUUGGAGAGAAAUCAAUUGUUGGCCUAUAUUGAGCUAUAUUUUAACAUAUCGUAUUUUCUAUAAAAACCAUGAACUGGUAGACUAUCUGAUAGAUGACGAUAGGAUGCUAGAACAUGUUUUUGAAACCCUUUUUAUAGUAUAAACGAUUAUCGGUAUUUAUACUAUAAAGUGGUUAUUUAUGAGAGGCGUAACUAUUUAUGCGUACCUAGUGGACACUAUGCCGCCUGGGGCGAGGAUUUGGUGUUGGCAUUUAAGCCGGGAGAAAUAAUCCCUAGCUACGGGCUGAGGGACAUGAAAAGGCAUUGCGCCGGGAGUUGGUAAUCUCUGGCUACAGGUGCAGAGACCACGGAGUAGGCAUUGGGCCGGGAGUUAUAUUUAUCAGUGAUCUUACUAGCAGCACACCACGCUUACGAGACGAUUUAUGAGACGUUUACUGUUUUGAUUUAUGCGAUGAUAUUCCGCUAUAUGGCUUUUGACAUAUUUUUGGCAUGCUAGGAUUUUUAUUAAAUCCAUCACUUAUUAUGCUAGUAGUUUUCAUUAUUAAGCUGUAGGGGUUAGUAUCUUGAUAACUGUUUUAUUAUUAUAUAUAUAUGAAUUUGGUCCACUCACCUUUGUUUUGCGUCCCCAUUCAGGACUUAGAAUCAAGGCACCUAAUUCCGGCGUCAAGACACUUCCGCAGCAGCAUCUUUGAAUCCUCUCGAUGUAGGAUCCACUUCUUUAUUCAUUCAAUUUCAUCUUAAUUCUUUUUAGUGACUAAAUUUAGUUGUAUACUCU